UACGUAGGGGGCAAGCGUUGUCCGGAAUCAUUGGGCGUAAAGCGCGUGUAGGCGGUCCGGUAAGUCCGCUGUGAAAGUCGGGGGCUCAACCCUCGGAUGCCGGUGGAUACUGUCGGGCUUGAGUACGGAAGGGGCAACUGGAAUUCUCGGUGUAGCGGUGAAAUGCGUAGAUAUCGAGAGGAACACCUGCGGCGAAGGCGGGUUGCUGGGCUGAUACUGACGCUGAUGCGCGAAAGCCAGGGGAGCGAACGGG
rnacentral:rRNA from 1 species